UGCAGGGCAGACGCACAAGAGCAGAAUCUCCGUGGGACAUCUCUCUGGAGCAUCAAUAUUACUGCAGUAUUUGGAAGAAACAAAUUUAAAUAAGUUCUAAGGUAAAGAAUGGAACAUUUAAGACAAGUCUGGAAAGUCAUCUGCCUUUAAUAACUGUCGUUUGUCCCUCACGUCAGACUUUCUCCAAGACAAAAACUCUAAGAACUUAUUUCCAUUCUUACAAAUAGUAAAAAUGAUAAAUCAUAUCAAGUCCAUUGAAA
rnacentral:sRNA from 1 species